GGACUACCCGGGUUUCUAAUCCCGUUUGCUCCCCUGGCUUUCGUGUCUCAGUGUCAGCAAACCCCCAGCGAGUUGUUUUCACCAUUGGCGUUCCAAAUGAUAUCUACGCAUUUCACCGCUCCACCAUUUGUUCCACUCGCCCCUAGGUUGCUCAAGACCAGCAGUAUACCAAGCAGUUCCACGGUUAAGCCGUGGGAUUUCACAAGGUACUUACCAGUCCACCUACACACGCUUUAAGCCCAGUGAUUCCGCCUAACGCUUGGCACCUCUGUCUUACCGCGGCUGCUGGCAC
rnacentral:rRNA from 1 species